rnacentral:rRNA from 1 species
CAUGUCCUUUUGAUUUUAAUUUAAGGUCUAAUCUGCUCAAUGAUAAUUAAAUUGCCGCAGUAUUUUGACUGUGCAAAGGUAGCAUAAUAAUUAGUUUCUUGAUUAGAAACUGGAAUGAAUGAUUGGACAAGAAAAUUUCUGUCUCUUUUUUAAAUUUUUUGAAUUUUAUUUUUAAGUGAAAAAGCUUAAAUUUUUAUAAAAGACGAGAAGACCCUAUAGAGUUUAAUAUGUGAAGUUAAUUUAAUUUUAGAAAUAAAUUUUAAUUUUAUUUAUUUGGUUGGGGUGAUUAAAAGAUUAAAUGAAUUCUUUAAUUAAGUUAUUAGUGAUUUCUAACUUUUAAAUCUAUAUUUUAUAAAUAUAAAAUAAAUUACCUUAGGGAUAACAGCGUAAUUUUUCUUUAAAGUUCUUAUUGAAAGGAAAGUUUGCGACCUCGAUGUUGGAUUAAAAUUAAUUUUUGGUGCAAUAACUUAAAAAUUAGGUCUGUUCGACCUUUAAAAUUUUACAUGAUCUGAGUUUAAACCGGUGUAAACCAGGUUGGAUUCUAUCUUUAGAAACAUAUUAUAUUUUAGUACGAAAGGACCAAAUAUAUAUUAAAUUAAUUG